UACAGAGGUCUCAAGCGUUGUUCGGAAUCACUGGGCGUAAAGCGUGCGUAGGCUGUUUCGUAAGUCGUGUGUGAAAGGCGCGGGCUCAACCCGCGGACGGCACAUGAUACUGCGAGACUAGAGUAAUGGAGGGGGAACCGGAAUUCUUGGUGUAGCAGUGAAAUGCGUAGAUAUCGAGAGGAACACUCGUGGCGAAGGCGGGUUCCUGGACAUUAACUGACGCUGAGGCACGAAGGCCAGGGGAGCGAAAGGG
rnacentral:rRNA from 1 species